UACAGAGGGUGCGAGCGUUGUCCGGAAUCACUGGGCGUAAAGGGCGCGUAGGUGGCGACCCAAGUCGAUGGUGAAAGCUCGCCGCUCAACGGCGAGUCGGCCACUGAUACUGGGUUGCUGGAGCACUGUAGAGGCAGAUGGAAUUCCGGGUGUAGCGGUGGAAUGCGUAGAGAUCCGGAAGAACACCGGUGGCGAAGGCGGCCUGCUGGGCAGUAGCUGACACUGAGGCGCGACAGCGUGGGGAGCGAACAGG
rnacentral:rRNA from 1 species